AUGAACGCUGGCGGCGUGCCUAAUACAUGCAAGUCGAGCGAACAGACGAGGAGCUUGCUCCUCUGACGUUAGCGGCGGACGGGUGAGUAACACGUGGAUAACCUACCUAUAAGACUGGGAUAACUUCGGGAAACCGGAGCUAAUACCGGAUAAUAUAUUGAACCGCAUGGUUCAAUAGUGAAAGACGGUUUUGCUGUCACUUAUAGAUGGAUCCGCGCCGCAUUAGCUAGUUGGUAAGGUAACGGCUUACCAAGGCAACGAUGCGUAGCCGACCGGAGAGGGUGAUCGGCCACACUGGAACUGAGACACGGUCCAGACUCCUACGGGAGGCAGCAGUAGGGAAUCUUCCGAAAUGGGCGAAAGCUUGACGGAGCAACGCCGCGUGAGUGAUGAAGGUCUUCGGAUCGUAAAACUCUGUUAUUAGGGAAGAACAAAUGUGUAAGUAACUAUGCACGUCUUGACGGUACCUAAUCAGAAAGCCACGGCUAACUACGUG
rnacentral:rRNA from 1 species